rnacentral:lncRNA from 1 species
UUGAAUAUUAAGUAACCUUUAAUUUGUAGAAUAUUACAAAGAAUGCUAUUGGUAAUUUUUAAAUCAAAGAGUAAAUUAAAAAAAUUGGAUAAGGUUAAAGUGGACAAAUUGAUCGGAUACAUAACGUGGAUCUUGGGUUUGUUUUCGGAUAAAACGCGGACCCUAUCCAGCGUUAUACGGUCUGGGACGCGGAUCCUCGAUUUGACCCGUUUGGGUAACAAAUCAUUAAGAUUUUACUCCGAUAAUAUUCUCUUGUGCUGUUACACAAAAUAAUUUCGAAAAUCAUUAAGACAGUUGCCAAAACAAUCAACAGAAAAUCAACGCAAAAUAAUUGCCAAAUUAAAUCACCAAAUAUAAGGAACAUAACCAAUUUUGUAGGAACUGUUUUCAAUAAGAUCUAAUCUCAUUUAUUAUAUUUGCCUAAUUUCAAAAGUAUAAAAUAUUAUAUUCCUAUCAAAUGAAGCAUCUACAUAUACAUUUUUACAGGGGAUUUUUGCAAAAAGUCUUUUGGAUCCGGGUUUUACCCGGGUUUAACUCUAUUCGGAUCUAGAAUAAGAAAUUUAAGGAAGUUUGUAAUAAAAACGACAUUAAUUAUUAAUUAACACCUAAAUUAGAAAUAUAUAUAAUAUAUCUAAACUAACCAUAUUUGUUAUUUACCUUAACUACUUCUAACCAUAAUUAUUUAACUAUUUAUUUCUAUAUGGAAAGAAUAUGUGAUUAAAAUAAAUAUUUUGUAAAAGAUUGAUUUGGGGAAAAAUUGUUAUUACGAAAAUAAUUUGUUUUGUUAUAAAAAUUAAUAUUUGUUAUUUGUAAUUAAAUUACAUAAAUAGUAAUAAUAAUUUGUCUACACCAUCAAAUGAAAAUAGUUAGUUAUUUAUUUUUUUAUUUAAUAUUACGUCAUUUUUAAAAAAUAAAUUCAACAAUAUAAUGUCAAUGAGUUUAAUUCUAAAGAUUUGAAAAUAUUAAAAAGAUACUAACCAAACAUUAUCUAUCCUAAUUUGUUUCUAACAAUUUCGACACAAAUCUUUCGAAAAUUUAAUGUGAUCACAGUUUGUUACUAAAAUCUCGAUUAUAUGCCUAAAAUCUCGAGAAGAUCUUCCUUUAAAUCCGCAAAUUAUAAUUUUUGAAUUAAAUAAACUAACAAUACGAAUAUUCCUAAUAUAUUCGAGUACUAAUAAUCCUUAUUAUAGUAUAUUCCUUAUCUAAAUACUAAAUCUUUUAUUUUUAAUUCUAAUCAAAAUUUAUGAAAUCGGAAAUCAAUUAUGAUUUCUUAAACAUCCUUAAAUUUCGAAAUAAUCAACAAUUCGAAUAUGCUGAAAAAUCAUAACGAAAUAUCUUUAUUUACUUAAAUGUUUUAGUAAUCGUUAUAGCAAAAAAAUCAAUUCCAGCGCUAUUGGUUCUUUAAACUUUUUGAUUUACAUAGAUAUUUUGUAUUCCAUAAUUAACUCAUUAAAUUCUUUGAUUUAAAUAACUACAAUGUGAAAAUUAGUAUAUGUAAUAAAUAUAACAUAUAAUAUUUACGAGAUUUUCAUAUACUUGAUCCCCAACCCAAAUUGACGAAUAUAUUAUUUCUCAUAAAAUAUCUUUAAAAGAUUUUUUUUUGUUUCGUUUAGAUAUUAUUCAACAAACUUCCUAAAACAAAUGGAAAUAUCUUUAAUUAGCUUUCCUCAUUCAUAAAUCCCACCAUGCAUAUAGACGUUAUUCAGUUGAUAAUACAAAAUUGAAUAUAUUAGGAAUCAAAUAUUUAAUUUUCCAAUAUUUGCAAAAUUGUUUUAAUUUUUAGAUCAAACCUAAACUUCUCGAGUACUUUUUAUUCAUCUAUAUAAAAAAGAUAUUUUCAACCAUUGAUCCACAAUACUAAACGUUUUCGUAAUAGAGAUUUAUAUGGCUUCUUUUAAACAAUGUUCUUAGUACAUUUUAUAUUUCACGUUUGUUUUCUUUUAAAAAAUUAAUUGUCACCUACUUUUCUUAUGUUGCAGCUUUCGAUUUUAAGAUCUUUGGAAAUUAUGGACAUCAUCAACUCCGUCUCCAAAGAAACUAUCAAAUAAGGUAUGCAUUAAAAGGUUAGUUAGUCCUUCUUCUUAUCUUCAGAUACGAAUUUUUUUUAAUGUCCAGUAUUUUUUUACAUUUUCAUAAUUUCAUGUUUCUUCAUAAUGUUUGUAAAUGAUUUUUUUUUAUAGGCUAACAUAACAAGUCCAUUCUAUUAAAAUCUUUUUCUUUAACGUAAAAAGGAAAUGAAUUUGUUAAUAAAAUAAAGUUCUUAUUCUUAAUUUUCAUUAUUCUAAUGUUAUGUAUUUUAAUUGUUUUUAUGAUAUAUACUUUUACUAAAACCUGUGGAUCCGAGUUUUGGUUGGUAAGUGUAAUUUUUCUAAUCUUUUAAAACCUUUUACAACAAUUACAUGUUUUAUAUGGUUAACAAUCACAUCAUAUAUAUUUUAUUUUCUUAUCCAAUGUAUUUCAUGUUUAAUGUUUUCUAAUAUUUUUUAUUGAAACUUUUAAAUAGUUUCAAAAUAUUAUAAACAUUUAAACUUUAUUAAAAGUAAAAUAUUAUAAUUAUUUAAACAUUUAAAAAAGUUUAUUUUUAUAAAACGUUUUAAAUAUUUAUAAUAUUAUGAAUUUUAUAAAGUUUCAAAUAUUAAAUAGUUGAAUUUUAUAAUAAUUUAUAAGAAAUUUAAACAUUAUAAAUAUUUACAAAAGAUAAUAAUCGGGACGGUAUAUUACGGGUGAAAUCCUAGAUAUAACAAUCAAAAUACUAUUAUGAAUUUUGGGUCGAUAUUAAAUGAAGUUUCGAAUAUUAGAAAUAUUUGAAUUUUAUUGGAAAAUGACAAAAUGAUGUAGAUUUCACGGGACAGAGUUAUAUGGUCGGACGGAUUUGGGGUGGAUAUUAAUACAGUAUGAUAUACUACAGGUGAAAUCCUAUAAUUAACAAUCAAAAUAUAACAAUACAAUCUUAAACACUAAACAAAACUAAACAAAUAAUAUUAACAAAACAAAUAAAACUUCAAAUUUUAAAUCUUUAGUUAUAAAAUAUCGUGUGUACCAUACAUUUAAAUCAAACAAAACAAUAGCAUAUAUCUAUAGAUCAUCUUAAAAAAAAAUUAAUUUUAUUAUUAUUUAAUAAAAUUAUAGACCCGCGGUGUACCGCGGGUUAAUAUCUAGUAUUCUAUUAAUGAUUCUAUUAAAUACGGUUACGCAAAUAUAUUUUCAUAUUUACAAAAGUAAACCCUAAAAAUGAGAGUUGUAUCUGUAAUAGUAUAUAUAGUAAACUCGAUAAUCAACUUUCAUAACACAAUCCUUCAAAUCUUAACUUCAUUAAUUUCUUCUUUUUUUUGGUCAAAAAAAUGGCUGCAAAUCUUCCUAUCACGGAACUUGCUAACGUGAAACCUUUUCAAAACAAUCGUUCACUCAUAGACUCAACACACUCAAUUCACACGAGAGACAAUGAAAAUGAUUCUUGCUACUGUUUCUGUAAGUAUUUUUAACUUUCUAACUUCAAACCUUUCAUAUUUAAAAAGGAUUAUUGUUUUGCUUACUACAAUUGUGAAUUUUGUAGGCUACUUUGAUUCAUGCUACUAUAAAUAAACAACAGAUGAACAAGCUGCAAAGGUUUAUCAACUCUGGAGAGUGGAGAUUUAUUAAAAAUUUACUCUCUCAAAAUCUAUGGGAAAGUACAGAGCUACCAAACAUGGUUGCAAAAUGUCCCUCAUGAACACUACUAUUAUCACUCGGUGUUCUUCUCUUUCAGAUGAUGUUUUCUUCGAUUUGCAAACUAUCAAGAUAUUUUGAAUGAAUCACGAUUGAAUGCGAAUAUCUUUAUAGGUUUUUUUAUGUUUAGUUAUAGCUUUAUCUUGCAUAUAAUUUUUUUUCCUUAUAUCUUUAUCUUGCAGGAUCUUCAUCGUUGUUAUGAUAUACUACUUUUGAUUAAACAUACAAAGACUAAUAUGAAUAAACAACAGUAUAAAAGUCACAUGAGGCACUAACCUUUUACAUAUAUAUUUCUGGAUAUCUCCAAUGAGGCAAUGACUAUAUAACUCUUCCCUUCUCCAUAUUUUUAUGUUAAUAGAAUCGAAUGCUUCACAUUAGAACAUUGAAUAUUGUUAUUAACAUGUUAAACUUUUUAAAGUAACUCAAUAACAGUAAGUAAAGCUGCAAAUCUGAGAAACAAAAGCGUAAGAAUUGAGAUUUCACCAACCUUUUACAUAUAUAUUUUCUUAUAGCUACACUGACAAAAUCAUAGAGCUUCUCCCAUAGUCUCAUUGUCUGUAUCGCAAAUCAUCCUUCACAUUAAAUCGUUAAUACACAGGCAAGGAUGAUUUUGUUUUAAAAUACAAGAUCAAAACAAUGUGCCAUAUAUAAAGUAACGUAUCUUAAGCUCAAUAAAACCAGGGAACUCUGCAAACAUAAUCAACAAAAUUUUAAAAAUUAAGAAUCUUACUAACCUUUGACACAUAUAUUUAUGAAUAGCUAUAAUGACAAUAUCCCAUUGUCUCCUCCAUUGUCUGAAAUUACUUGCUAAUCAUCCUUCACUAGAAUACACAACCAAAAAAAAUUAAAAAUUCAAAACACAGUAUACACAAAAUAUACUCAAUUUAUUGCUUUCAAACUAUAAAAAGCUACGGAUACUCGAGAUUAACUGUAUACAGAGCUACUCUAUACAACAAUUCAAAACCACUGUAAAUCAAAUUCGUAUACAAACCUUAAAAAAAAUCUAUCAAAAACUAAUUUUAAAUCAGCCUUAAGAGAUCCGGCUUCUUGUAAAUCCUUGGCGAUUCUAUACUAUUAAAACAAAAAAUUUCAAAGAUUGGAAAUUGAAUCUGACAUAUACAAAAGCUGUACAAGUAUAAAUUUGAUUUAAUAAAUAGAUUACCUCUUCGUAGAAUUCACGAAUUGAAACCCACCAGAGGUAUAAUAGGAGACGAUGAUGUUCCUAUGAGAUUAUCGUAUUUGAUUCUGGAGAUCGAUCGAUGGUCUUCGUUAUUUUCACUAAAAUUCCUUUUCUCUUUUUUUGGUAAUAAGACAACAAAUUGUUCACAGCAAAUAUCUGUCCAAAUAC